UCGGUGAAUUCCCGUUCCGUUCAUCUUUUCAGAUCACAGAUUCAACAAUAUUCAUCCUUCUCAAUUCCCAAUUUUAUUGAAUUUGUUUUUUAUAUUCAAUCCCUAAUUCAUUUCCAAUAAAAUAAUAAUUUCUUCACUACCUUUUCUAAUCAUUACGCAUAUUUAUCUCCCUCUGCCAUCGAUUUAGGGUUUAUGCAGCAGCAACAUUCAGCAGCAAUCGCCGUCUUCGGCCGAUCCUUCCCCUUCCCAAUGCGGCCUUCACCUACUUUCCGCUCCCAAGUUUCCAUUCUGUUCGCUUGAUUCUUGCGUUUCCGUAGUCCGAUGGCGGCGCGCCCCAAUCGACGGAACCUUGCUCCGCGGCUGACGACUCGAUCGACGAGGUCAGCAUCCCUAUAGACUUCGAACAUGGCUCGUUGCCCUCUACGGAGAAUGCGUCGGAAGAUGUCUUCGGAACCCCUGUUGGUCCUUGAAAUAAAUAAUCUUAUCAAAAUUUGGUUAUGACGAUAUCUUCCUCCAGAGAUCAGCUAUCUGAAAAGGGUGCAGGAGCUUGAUAUCUCAUUUAAUAAGCUGAAUUACUCACCUGCUGCUAUAUCUGAGAUUAGUUCUAUUAGAUCAAUGAAAAUUGCUAACAACAAGCUGGUUGAUCCUCCAUCAUGUCUUUCUUCAAUGGCUGACCUGGAAAUGCUCGAUUUGUCAAAUAAUAGGCUAACUUCAUUGUCUUCACUCAGACUUUCUUCUAUGCAUGCUCUUCAACUUUUGAAUCUUCAGAUGAUUUUGCUACUACAUUUUGCUUCUUGCUCCUCCAUGUCGCUAGAUUACCACCAAGGAAAGUACAAUAUCCUGUAGUUGAUCUUCUAUUUAUUAAAGAACCUGCAUAGUCUACAUCUGUGUAUAUUCCUCUUAAUCGGCUUCUUGUGCCACUUGAAACUGAGAAUUCUACCAUACCUACAUCGCUUUUUCCUUCUCUCAUUGAAUCAUGAACCAAGAGCACCUCCAGGUAUAUUCCUCUUAAUCGGCUUCUCGUCAUCUCGUGCCACUUGAAACUGAGAAUUCUACCAUUACCUACAUCGCUUUUUCCUUCUCUCAUUGAGUCAUGAAACCAAGAGCACCUCCAGAUCAGUUAUCCAUUGCGAAUUUGGAACUGUUGAUGCUGCAGUUAAGAUCAGACAUCUGCUGAUGGAGUAAAGGAAUUUGAGUGCAUUCUUCUAGGGGAAGUAAGGCGUCUAGGUGCUUUGAGGAAUCACAAGCACAUAAUGAAUAUUUAUGAUCAUCAGCUUUCUUGUAAGUGGCUUCCAGCACUAGAUGGGAAAGAAGGGGACAGGCUGUUGCAAUCUAUGAUUAUUAUGGAACUUAUCUAAAUCAUUUAAGGGAAGAAGGCCAGAAACAUGUUCCUGCUGACAUUGCUUUGUGCAUUGCCAAUUUUCUAAGAACAAGUGCAUAGACAGUUUAAGAACCCAAGUAAAUGCAUCUUGCUUACAAUCUGAAAUUAAGUUCUUCUGAUUUUAUAGCUCAUGAGUUUUUGCCUGAAUUUUGGCAUUGUUCUUUCAGUUUAUUACAAUAUUUUACUGUUUUUUGUGAUAUUAACUAAGCAUGAUUGUUCUCAUCUAUACAACUAUAAUAGCUAAAGUAGGCCAACAAGGAAGUUGGAAGUUUUAAA